UGCGCAGGCGGAAUAUUAAGUCAGUGGUGAAAUCCUACAGCUCAACUGUAGAACUGCCAUUGAUACUGAUAUUCUUGAGUAUAGUUGUAGUGGGCGGAAUAUGCCAUGUAGCGGUGAAAUGCUUAGAUAUGACAUAGAACACCGAUCGCGAAGGCAGCUCACUAAACUAUAACUGACGCUCAGGCACGAAAGCGUGGGGAGCAAACAGGAUUAGAUACCCUGGUAGUC
rnacentral:rRNA from 1 species